GGAGAUAUGACUCAGUGGUUAAGAGUACCAGCUGCUCAUCCAGAGGAUCUGGGUUCAAUUCCCAGCAUCCACA
rnacentral:tRNA from 1 species